AAAUUGAAGAGUUUGAUCAUGGCUCAGAUUGAACGCUGGCGGCAGGCCUAACACAUGCAAGUCGAGCGGAAACGAGUUAUCUGAACCUUCGGGGAACGAUAACGGCGUCGAGCGGCGGACGGGUGAGUAAUGCCUAGGAAAUUGCCCUGAUGUGGGGGAUAACCAUUGGAAACGAUGGCUAAUACCGCAUGAUGCCUACGGGCCAAAGAGGGGGACCUUCGGGCCUCUCGCGUCAGGAUAUGCCUAGGUGGGAUUAGCUAGUUGGUGAGGUAAGGGCUCACCAAGGCGACGAUCCCUAGCUGGUCUGAGAGGAUGAUCAGCCACACUGGAACUGAGACACGGUCCAGACUCCUACGGGAGGCAGCAGUGGGGAAUAUUGCACAAUGGGCGCAAGCCUGAUGCAGCCAUGCCGCGUGUGUGAAGAAGGCCUUCGGGUUGUAAAGCACUUUCAGUCGUGAGGAAGGUAGUGUAGUUAAUAGCUGCAUU
rnacentral:rRNA from 1 species